CAGAGGGUAGUUUAAUUAAAAUUUUAAUUUUGGGGAUUAGGUAUGGAGUGUUAAGUUCUCCCCUUCUGA
rnacentral:tRNA from 1 species